CCAAUAGCGUAUAUUAAAGUUGUUGCAGUUAAAAAGCUCGUAGUUGAAUUUCGAGAUCGGUUUAUUGGUCGUGCUAUUGUACGUACUGGUAUUACCGGUUUCUCCUUUCUGACGAACCAUAAUGCCAUUAAUUUGGUGUUUUGGGAAAUCAGGACUGUUACUUUGAAAAAAUUAGAGUGUUUAAAGCAGGCUCACGCUUGAAUACAUUAGCAUGGAAUAACGGAAUAGGACGUUUGAUUCUAUUUUGUUGGUUUCUAGGAUCGACGUAAUGAUUAAUAGGGAUAGUUGGGGGCAUUAGUAUUCAAUUGUCAGAGGUGAAAUUCUUGGAUUUAUUGAAGACUAACUACUGCGAAAGCAUUUGCCAAGGAUGUUUUCAUUAAUCAAGAACGAAAGUUAGGGGAUCGAAGACGAUCAGAUACCGUCGUAGUCUUAACCAUAAACUAUGCCGACUAGGGAUCGGAUGAUGUUAUUUUUAAUGACUCAUUCGGCGCCUUACG
rnacentral:rRNA from 1 species